rnacentral:rRNA from 1 species
AGCGAACGCUGGCGGCGUGCUUAACACAUGCAAGUCGCGGGAGAACGGGAAGCUUCGGCUUCCCCAGUAAACCGGCGCACGGGUGAGUAACACGUAGGUAACCUACCUACGAGACUGAGAUAACCUGUCGAAAGAUAGACUAAUACCGGAUAAGACCACGGGAGUUGCGGCUCCUGAGGUAAAAGGUGGCCUCUGCUUGCAAGCUACUACUCGUAGAUUGGCCUGCGCGCCAUUAGCUAGUUGGUGAGGUAACGGCCCACCAAGGCUACGAUGGCUAGUUGGUCUGAGAGGAUGACCAGCCACACUGGGACUGAGACACGGCCCAGACUCCUACGGGAGGCAGCAGUGGGGAAUAUUGCGCAAUGGGGGAAACCCUGACGCAGCGACGCCGCGUGGGUGAUGAAGGCCUUCGGGUCGUAAAGCCCUGUCGGAGGGGAAGAAGGAUUGCCGGGUAAAUAAUCCGGUGGUCUGACGGUACCCUCAAAGGAAGCACCGGCUAACUCCGUGCCAGCCGCCGCCGUAAUAC